CAGGCGUCUUGCUCUUUUUGCCUUGAAAGGAAGCAGGUCUCCAGACCUCUCCUCUACCAUCCUUCAAAACUGCGGCCGCAGGGCAGGAGGGUUUCUGCUGGAAAGGCACAACGCCCGCUUAGCACCCGUGCUGGCUCCAGCAGAAAGACAGUGAGGCCGGAGGCGGAUCCUGCAUGAUUCAUAAAGAAAAACGCGCUGUCUGUGAGGGAGAGUAAUUUAUAGGCGACGUUUCCCCAGCUUCCAGAGAUGAAACUCACCAGGAGGAGGAGGAGGAGGACGAGAGACCUUCAUCCACUGUGAGUGGCCAGUGUGGCUCCUGAGCUCCCGGUCGGCCCCUCCGGCAGUGGCAUGAGUCUGUCAGGGCGUUUUGCUGAAGCUGCGGCUCUCCCUGGUCAUUGGGCCCAGAGCCAGACCUGGAGGACCAGGGGACAAGAGGAGCUGAUGCCCCCAAUGUCCUUCUCUGCUCUCCCAGCCCCUGCUUCCCACCCCCACCACUCGUCUCUCAUUUAUGAAAACAAAUGAAGUCAAGCUUCCCAGCCCUUCUCGUCUGGAGGAGAAUGGGGCAGGCAGCCAACUGACACCCACCUGACCCAAGCCGUACAUCAUGAGGGCCACGAGGCUGCUGUGGACACGCACGCUGGGGACAGGUCUGAUCAGUGGCCACCAAGACUCCAGAGUUGGACAGACUUGUGCUUGGGGUGGGGGUCGGCUGAGGGAGCGGGUGGACUUCAUAAUCAGAGGAGGAAAAGACCAAACAGAAUCUGUGGAAGGAAGAAAGGAAGGAAGGAAGGCACAGCCUACCGAAGGUGACGUAGAAGGCACGUUCAUCCCGGGAGCAGAGGUCAAGGUCUUUUCCUGAUGGAGACGCUGUGUAAACCCCACCCAGACCAAGAUGGGGCACUGCCAGCACCCAGAAGUCUCCAUUGCGCCCCCUCUAAGUCGAACCCCCUUCGACAGGUAACCAGUAUUCUGACUUUGCUUAUCGUGGAUUAAUUUUGUCUGUUUUUGAACUUUAUAUAAAUGG
rnacentral:lncRNA from 1 species